rnacentral:rRNA from 1 species
AUUGCUAUCGGAGUCCGAUUUAGCCAUGCUAGUCGCACGAACUUAGAUUCGUGGCAUAUAGCUCAGUAACACGUGGCCAAACUACCCUACAGACCGCGAUAACCUCGGGAAACUGAGGCCAAUAGCGGAUAUUACUCUCAUGCUGGAGUGCCGAGAGUGAGAAACGUUCCGGCGCUGUAGGAUGUGGCUGCGGCCGAUUAGGUAGAUGGUGGGGUAAUGGCCCACCAUGCCCAUAAUCGGUACAGGUUGUGACAGCAAGAGCCUGGAGACGGUAUCUGAGACAAGAUACCGGGCCCUACGGGGCGCAGCAGGCGCGAAACCUUUACACUGCACGACAGUGCGAUAGGGGGACUCCGAGUGCGAGGGCAUAUAGUCCUCGCUUUUCUGAACCGUAAGGUGGUUCAGGAACAAGGACUGGGCAAGACCGGUGCCAGCCGCCGCGGUAAUACCGGCAGUCCAAGUGAUGGCCGAUUUUAUUGGGCCUAAAGCGUCCGUAGCUUGCUGUGUAAGUCCAUUGGGAAAUCCACGCGCUCAACGCGUGGGCGUCCGGUGGAAACUGCACAGCUUGGGGCCGAGAGACUCGACGGGUACGUCCGGGGUAGGAGUGAAAUCCUGUAAUCCUGGACGGACCACCACUGGCGAAAGCACGUCGAGAGACCGGAC